rnacentral:rRNA from 1 species
AACGAACGCUGGCGGCAUGCCUAACACAUGCAAGUCGAACGAUAUCUUCGGGUCUAGUGGCGCACGGGUACGUAACGCGUGGGAAUCUGCCCUUUGGUUCGGAAUAACAGUUGGAAACGACUGCUAAUACCGGAUGAUGACGAAAGUCCAAAGAUUUAUCGCCAGAGGAUGAGCCCGCGUAGGAUUAGCUAGUUGUUGUGGUAAAGGCGCACCAAGGCGACGAUCCUUAGCUGGUAUGAGAGGAUGAUCAGCCAAACGGGGACUGGGACACGGCCCAGCCUCCUACGGGAGGCAGCAGUGGGGAAUAUUGGACAAUGGGCGAAAGCCUGAUCCAGAACUGCCGCGUGAGUGAGGAAGGCCUUAGUGUUGUAAAGCUCUUUUACCGGGGAUGUUAAUGACAGUACCGGGAGAAUAAGCUCCGGCUGACUCCGUGCCAGCAGCCGCCGUAA